GGAGAGGGCCAGAGACGUUGUCUGGAACCAGGAGUCCGCGCAGACCAGAAGUCAGGGUAGGCUGGAGGCAACUGUGGGAACAAGUCAAGAAUUUUUCUCCUUGGCCCGCCAGACAGAAAGGGGAGUCUGGAGAGCAGAUUCCCCAAAGAGCUGAUCUGUCUGAUACGUAGAAGAAGAAAUUAAGUAGGGAGAAGACACCAGCGUAUUUCCUUCAGCAAGGAUGGAGGAGGCGAAUCAUUAAGCUCUGUCCAUGUAGGCUGGAAGUAAGCCCUGGGAUGGAAUACGAGGGUACAUGGGGAAAGGCCAGAAACCUCCUCGGAGGGACCAGGCUCACCACGCACCCUGACGCAGGAGCACUGGUCUCCUCCCUUGACCCGGCCACCACAUCACCCUCCUCCGGGAUUAGGCUCAAGGUGCUCGACGACCUUGGUGUUAGGUCAGUCGUUCUGAACCAUACAAGCUGGCUCCUCUAGGAGGCUCUGUGCCAAGGAGCGAGACCAUCAGGCUGA
rnacentral:lncRNA from 1 species